GGCUACGGCCAUACCACCCUGAACGCGCCCGAUCUCGUCUGAUCUCGGAAGCUAAGCAGGGUCGGGCCUGGUUAGUACUUGGAUGGG
rnacentral:miRNA from 1 species